rnacentral:rRNA from 1 species
AUACGAAGGGGGCUAGCGUUGUUCGGAAUUACUGGGCGUAAAGCGCGCGUAGGCGGAUUGGUCAGUUAGGGGUGAAAUCCCAGGGCUUAACCCUGGAACUGCCUCUAAUACUGCCAGUCUUGAGUUCGGGAGAGGUGAGUGGAAUUCCUAGUGUAGAGGUGAAAUUCGUAGAUAUUAGGAAUAACACCAGUGGCGAAGGCGGCUCACUGGCCCGAUACUGACGCUGAGGCGCGAAAGCGUGGGGAGCAAACAGGAUUAGAAACCCUAGUAGUCC